rnacentral:rRNA from 1 species
GAUGAACGCUGGCGGCGUGCCUAAUACAUGCAAGUCGAACGAAUCUUCUUCGGAAGAUGAGUGGCGAACGGGUGAGUAAUACAUAGGUAACCUGCCCCUGUGCGGGGGAUAACAGGAGGAAACUCCUGCUAAUACCGCAUAGCCAUGGGCACCGCAUGGAGCUCAUGCCAAAUAUCCUUCAGGGGAUAGCGCAGGGAUGGACCUAUGGCGCAUUAGCUAGUUGGCGGGGCAACGGCCCACCAAGGCAACGAUGCGUAGCCGGCCUGAGAGGGCGGACGGCCACAUUGGGACUGAGACACGGCCCAGACUCCUACGGGAGGCAGCAGUAGGGAAUUUUCGGCAAUGGGGGAAACCCUGACCGAGCAACGCCGCGUGAGCGAAGAAGGCCUUCGGGUCGUAAAGCUCUGUUGUAAAGGAAGAACGUCGCAUGCAGGAAAUGGUGUGCGAGUGACGGUACUUUACCAGAAAGCCUCGGCUAACUACGUGCCAGCAGCCGCGGUAAAAC